UACGGGGGGGGGCAAGCGUUGUUCGGAAUUACUGGGCGUAAAGGGCGCGUAGGCGGCCUUCUAAGUCGGACGUGAAAUCCCUCGGCUUAACCGAGGAACUGCGUCCGAUACUGAAAGGCUUGAAUCCGGGAGAGGGAUGUGGAAUUCCAGGUGUAGCGGUGAAAUGCGUAGAUAUCGAGAGGAACACCUGCGGCGAAGGCGGGUAGCUGGGCCGACACUGACGCUGAGGCGCGAAAGCCAGGGGAGCGAACGGG
rnacentral:rRNA from 1 species